rnacentral:rRNA from 1 species
AGAGUUUGAUCCUGGCUCAGGAUGAACGCUAGCGGGAGGCCUAACACAUGCAAGCCGAGCGGUAUUGUUUCUUCGGAAAUGAGAGAGCGGCGUACGGGUGCGGAACACGUGUGCAACCUGCCUUUAUCUGGGGGAUAGCCUUUCGAAAAGGAAGAUUAAUACUCCAUAAUAUAUUGAACGGCAUCGUUUAAUAUUGAAAGCUCCGGCGGAUAGAGAUGGGCACGCGCAAGAUUAGCUAGUUGGUGAGGUAGCGGCUCACCAAGGCAAUGAUCUUUAGGGGGCCUGAGAGGGUGAUCCCCCACACUGGUACUGAGACACGGACCAGACUCCUACGGGAGGCAGCAGUGAGGAAUAUUGGUCAAUGGGUGCAAGCCUGAACCAGCCAUCCCGCGUGAAGGACGACUGCCCUAUGGGUUGUAAACUUCUUUUGUAUAGGGAUAAACCUUUCCACGUGUGGAAAGCUGAAGGUACUAUACGAAUAAGCACCGGCUAACUCCGUG